rnacentral:rRNA from 1 species
GACGUAGGGCGCGAGCGUUGUCCGGAAUUAUUGGGCGUAAAGAGCUCGUAGGCGGUCUGUCGCGUCUGCUGUGAAAACUCGGGGCUUAACCCCGGGCCUGCAGUGGGUACGGGCAGACUAGAGUGCGGUAGGGGAGACUGGAAUUCCUGGUGUAGCGGUGAAAUGCACAGAUAUCAGGAGGAACACCGGUGGCGAAGGCGGGUCUCUGGGCAGUAACUGACGCUGAGGAGCGAAAGCGUGGGGAGCGAACAGG